UGGGGAAUAUUGGACAAUGGGCGCAAGCCUGAUCCAGCCAUGCCGCGUGUGUGAAGAAGGCCUUUUGGUUGUAAAGCACUUUAAGCGAGGAGGAGGCUACUUGGAUUAAUACUCUAGGAUAGUGGACGUUACUCGCAGAAUAAGCACCGGCUAACUCUGUGCCAGCAGCCGCGGUAAUACAGAGGGUGCGAGCGUUAAUCGGAUUUACUGGGCGUAAAGCGUGCGUAGGCGGCUUCUUAAGUCGGAUGUGAAAUCCCUGAGCUUAACUUAGGAAUUGCAUUCGAUACUGGGAAGCUAGAGUAUGGGAGAGGAUGGUAGGAUUCCAGGUGUAGCGGUGAAAUGCGUAGAGAUCUGGAGGAAUACCGAUGGCGAAGGCAGCCAUCUGGCCUAAUACUGACGCUGAGGUACGAAAGCAUGGGGAGCAAACAGG
rnacentral:rRNA from 1 species